UGGGGAAUAUUGCACAAUGGGCGCAAGCCUGAUGCAGCUAUGCCGCGUGUAUGAAGAAGGCCUUAGGGUUGUAAAGUACUUUCAUCGAGGAAGAAAAAUGUAAAUAUAAUACAUUUACAUCUUGACGUUACUCGAAUAAGAAGCACCGGCUAACUCCGUGCCAGCAGCCGCGGUAAUACGGAGGGUGCUAGCGUUAAUCAGAAUUACUGGGCGUAAAGAGCUCGUAGGCGGUAUAUUAAGUCAGAUGUGAAAUCCCUAGGCUUAACCUAGGAACUGCAUUUGAAACUGAUAAACUAGAGUAUCGUAGAGGGAGGUAGAAUUCUAGGUGUAGCGGUGAAAUGCGUAGAUAUCUGGAGGAAUACCUGUGGCGAAAGCGACCUCCUGGACGAAUACUGACGCUGAGGUGCGAAAGCGUGGGGAGCAAACAGG
rnacentral:rRNA from 1 species